UGUGUUUGUGUGUGCAUGCGUGCGCAAGGUACAUUCCCAUUUGCAGUUUUUACCCUGUGGAGGGCAUUGCUUUAUCUGGUGGGCGAAGACAAGCCAUCGGUGUUGUAUUUCAUUUGCAUUUGAAUUUAUCGCUCCAAGCAAUUUGUCUAUGGAUGUGAGACAGACCUGAGAAGUGGCAUCGUAAAAUCUGUUUUGAGCUUUCAACAGGACAGCAUUUUUAGGAAAUAGAUCAUGCACUCUAUUGUACAGCUCCCAAUUUCCUUAAUAUUUAAUACUUGUGCUAGGGUUUAUUAUCAUCCCAUGCUAUUGUGGGCUAACAGUUUUGGUCGAUUAUCAGUUACUGCAAAAUGGCAGCAACUGGUUGGUUGAUGCAUGUUUCAUUCCAUUGACAAAACGGACGACUUUCUUUUUAAUUUUGGAUUGAUACAGUUCUACACAAGGUUCUAAUGUACAGGGAGGAAUCUUUACCCUCCAUGAUGAUGCUUUAGCAUCGAUUUAAUUCAAAAUUUACAGUUCACACUCCACAAUGGCUGUUGUUGAUAUGAUACCAAAGGAAGAGAGUUUUGUUCAGAAGAUGCUUUGUUACCCAAAAGUAAAACCAUAAGAACAUAUGAUUCAUGGUUAUAUGUGCUUAUAAUGUCCUGAUUUUCAAUGAUUGCGUUGUGAAAUUUGCCUGUAAAAAUUAAAUGAAUACAGUUUGG
rnacentral:misc_RNA from 1 species